GUCGUCAGCUCGUGUCGUGAGAUGUGGUUAAGUCCGCAACGAGCGCAACCCUUACUCCUUGUUGCCAUCAGGUAAUGCUGAGCACUCUAGGGGAACUGCCGGUGACAAACCGGAGGAAGGUGGGGAUGACGUCAAAUCAUCACGGCCCUUAUGUCCAGGGCUACACACGUGCUACAAUGGCCGGUACAAUGAGAAGCAAGACUGCGAAGUGGAGCAAAUCUCAAAAAACCGGUCUCAGUUCGGAUCGGAGUCUGCAACUCGACUCCGUGAAGUUGGAAUCGCUAGUAAUCGUGGAUCAGCACGCCACGGUGAAUACGUUCCCGGGCCUU
rnacentral:rRNA from 1 species